GGGUAGGUGGCGGAGUGGACAAACGCACGGGACUGUAAAUCCCGCGGCCGAUUGGCCUUCGGGGGUUCGAAUCCCUCCCUACCCA
rnacentral:tRNA from 1 species